rnacentral:rRNA from 1 species
UACGUAGGUGGCAAGCGUUGUCCGGAAUCAUUGGGCGUAAAGAGCGCGUAGGUGGCUUGUCAGGUCUGAUGUGAAAUUUCGGGGCUCAACCCCGGACCUGCAUCGGAAACCGGCUUGCUAGAGUCUGGGAGAGGAGAGUGGAAUUCCUGGUGUAGCGGUGAAAUGCGUAGAUAUCAGGAGGAACACCGGUAGCGAAGGCGGCUCUCUGGAACAGUACUGACGCUGAGGCGCGAAAGCUAGGGGAG